UACGUAGGGGGCGAGCGUUGUCCGGAUUUAUUGGGCGUAAAGAGCUCGUAGGCGGUUCGAUAAGUCGGACGUGAAAUCUCCACGCUCAACGUGGAGGGGCCGUUCGAUACUGUCGUGACUCGAGUCCGGUAGGGGAGUGCGGAAUUCCUGGUGUAGCGGUGAAAUGCGCAGAUAUCAGGAGGAACACCGGUGGCGAAGGCGGCACUCUGGGCCGGUACUGACGCUGAGGAGCGAAAGCGUGGGGAGCGAACAGG
rnacentral:rRNA from 1 species